GGCAUCACGAUUUAAGUGAUUGCAGAGCCGUAACGCAUCAAUUGAAGAAACAGAGACCACGAAUCCACCGGGCAGUGCGUUGAAUUGUUAAGGUACGGCGGCGCAGUGGCACCACGUUCAGCACAUCUGUUCUUGAACAGC
rnacentral:misc_RNA from 1 species